rnacentral:rRNA from 1 species
GGGACACGUGGUAUCCUGUCUGAAUAUGGGGGGACCAUCCUCCAAGGCUAAAUACUCCUGACUGACCGAUAGUGAACCAGUACCGUGAGGGAAAGGCGAAAAGAACCCCGGCGAGGGGAGUGAAAAAGAACCUGAAACCGUGUACGUACAAGCAGUGGGAGCACGCUUAGGCGUGUGACUGCGUACCUUUUGUAUAAUGGGUCAGCGACUUAUAUUCUGUAGCAAGGUUAACCGAAUAGGGGAGCCGAAGGGAAACCGAGUCUUAACUGGGCGUUAAGUUGCAGGGUAUAGACCCGAAACCCGGUGAUCUAGCCAUGGGCAGGUUGAAGGUUGGGUAACACUAACUGGAGGACCGAACCGACUAAUGUUGAAAAAUUAGCGGAUGACUUGUGGCUGGGGGUGAAAGGCCAAUCAAACCGGGAGAUAGCUGGUUCUCCCCGAAAGCUAUUUAGGUAGCGCCUCGUGAAUUCAUCUCCGGGGGUAGAGCACUGUUUCGGCAAGGGGGUCAUCCCGACUUACCAACCCGAUGCAAACUGCGAAUACCGGAGAAUGUUAUCACGGGAGACACACGGCGGGUGCUAACGUCCGUCGUGAAGAGGGAAACAACCCAGACCGCCAGCUAAGGUCCCAAAGUCAUGGUUAAGUGGGAAACGAUGUGGGAAGGCCCAGACAGCCAGGAUGUUGGCUUAGAAGCAGCCAUCAUUUAAAGAAAGCGUAAUAGCUCACUGGUCGAGUCGGCCUGCGCGGAAGAUGUAACGGGGCUAAACCAUGCACCGAAGCUGCGGCAGCGACGCUUAUGCGUUGUUGGGUAGGGGAGCGUUCUGUAAGCCUGCGAAGGUGUGCUGUGAGGCAUGCUGGAGGUAUCAGAAGUGCGAAUGCUGACAUAAGUAACGAUAAAGCGGGUGAAAAGCCCGCUCGCCGGAAGACCAAGGGUUCCUGUCCAACGUUAAUCGGGGCAGGGUGAGUCGACCCCUAAGGCGAGGCCGAAAGGCGUAGUCGAUGGGAAACAGGUUAAUAUUCCUGUACUUGGUGUUACUGCGAAGGGGGGACGGAGAAGGCUAUGUUGGCCGGGCGACGGUUGUCCCGGUUUAAGCGUGUAGGCUGGUUUUCCAGGCAAAUCCGGAAAAUCAAGGCUGAGGCGUGAUGACGAGGCACUACGGUGCUGAAGCAACAAAUGCCCUGCUUCCAGGAAAAGCCUCUAAGCAUCAGGUAACAUCAAAUCGUACCCCAAACCGACACAGGUGGUCAGGUAGAGAAUACCAAGGCGCUUGAGAGAACUCGGGUGAAGGAACUAGGCAAAAUGGUGCCGUAACUUCGGGAGAAGGCACGCUGAUAUGUAGGUGAAGUCCCUCGCGGAUGGAGCUGAAAUCAGUCGAAGAUACCAGCUGGCUGCAACUGUUUAUUAAAAACACAGCACUGUGCAAACACGAAAGUGGACGUAUACGGUGUGACGCCUGCCCGGUGCCGGAAGGUUAAUUGAUGGGGUUAGCGCAAGCGAAGCUCUUGAUCGAAGCCCCGGUAAACGGCGGCCGUAACUAUAACGGUCCUAAGGUAGCGAAAUUCCUUGUCGGGUAAGUUCCGACCUGCACGAAUGGCGUAAUGAUGGCCAGGCUGUCUCCACCCGAGACUCAGUGAAAUUGAACUCGCUGUGAAGAUGCAGUGUACCCGCGGCAAGACGGAAAGACCCCGUGAACCUUUACUAUAGCUUGACACUGAACAUUGAGCCUUGAUGUGUAGGAUAGGUGGGAGGCUUUGAAGUGUGGACGCCAGUCUGCAUGGAGCCGACCUUGAAAUACCACCCUUUAAUGUUUGAUGUUCUAACGUGGACCCGUAAUCCGGGUUGCGGACAGUGUCUGGUGGGUAGUUUGACUGGGGCGGUCUCCUCCUAAAGAGUAACGGAGGAGCACGAAGGUUGGCUAAUCCUGGUCGGACAUCAGGAGGUUAGUGCAAUGGCAUAAGCCAGCUUGACUGCGAGCGUGACGGCGCGAGCAGGUGCGAAAGCAGGUCAUAGUGAUCCGGUGGUUCUGAAUGGAAGGGCCAUCGCUCAACGGAUAAAAGGUACUCCGGGGAUAACAGGCUGAUACCGCCCAAGAGUUCAUAUCGACGGCGGUGUUUGGCACCUCGAUGUCGGCUCAUCACAUCCUGGGGCUGAAGUAGGUCCCAAGGGUAUGGCUGUUCGCCAUUUAAAGUGGUACGCGAGCUGGGUUUAGAACGUCGUGAGACAGUUCGGUCCCUAUCUGCCGUGGGCGCUGGAGAACUGAGGGGGGCUGCUCCUAGUACGAGAGGACCGGAGUGGACGCAUCACUGGUGUUCGGGUUGUCAUGCCAAUGGCACUGCCCGGUAGCUAAAUGCGGAAGAGAUAAGUGCUGAAAGCAUCUAAGCACGAAACUUGCCCCGAGAUGAGUUCUCCCUGACCCUUUAAGGGUCCUGAAGGAACGUUGAAGACGACGACGUUGAUAGGCCGGGUGUGUAAGCGCAGCGAUGCGUUGAGCUAACCGGUACUAAUGAACCGUGAGG